AAAGAAGGAAACCUGCAGCGAGCAGCAACGCGACACAGCGUGAGGGGAGCAGGCGGGAAAUCAGCCGAUGCUGAGGGACAGCGGUGAGGCUCAUAUACUGUCAGUACGAACCACGGCAGUGAGAAACAGGUUCUAAUAGCAUUUGAUGUAAAAGGGCAAAGGUCAGAGGUCAAAGUCUGAUCAGGAUCCACUGAAAGCUUUUCCACCUAUCGUGUUUACAGACACUCAAACGCUACAAAAACCAUCACGUCCUUGGCUGAGGUGAGUGGGAAUCAAUGAAGAAACCCAAAAACCAUCGAGAUUCACUGCUUAAAGGUGCAGUAGGCACCAAGUUUAAGUGACUUCCAUCAGACAGGCACUGGGACCAGGACCGGGACCAGGACCGGGACCAGGACCUUUAAACAGCUUUGUAAAGUGAGACAUGUUUGGAGGCAAUCCCAAGAAAACAUCUUUCGCCCCUGAGGUUGCGUGCUGCAGCUAAACUUAGAGGCGGUCAGUUUAUCUGUGUGUGUACGUGUGUGUGUGUGUCAUGGUAGAAGAGAGUGUCUGGGGAUUUUGCAGCUGGAGUCGGUGUUUUUCCUGUGUCUGCCCUCGUGGGUGGAGUCCCUGGUGUCUCACCUGAGUUCCAUCCACGGUUAAUCAGCAGAAGGUUCUUGAGGCCAGCGCUGUCCUCCACUCGCCACCAGUUUGUCAGCUACGUUCUGUUAGUGGUCAAUCUACAGACGCAUCCACUGCUGAAGCUUCUAUCGGACGCUGGUCAUACCUGGAAAGUUCAUCUGUAACCUUGGAAAAACAACUACUCACCACACUUACCUGCCUGGCCUCCUGCUCAUCGUUCUCCUCCUGGACUCCCUUGGAGCUGGAUCGGAUCUCUUGCUACUCCCACUGCUCUCACCUUGCCCGGACACUCGAGCCUGCAUCCGAGUCCUGAUUGGAUAAGGCAUAGACAGGAAGGGAAAAGUGAUGACUAUUAGUACAAAUGGAAGAAGAUGUGACCUUUAUCUGAAUGAUCCUGAGGUGGAUCCCCGACACGCUACUCGCACGCUACAGUUCAGGCUCAGCAGGCUGCAUUAUCACAGGAAUGCUACCUGCACACCUGUGUCACCUGCUGUUCACGUGAUUGGACCUUCGGAUAAGAGUGUGCUUUACAUGCUGAUGUGCAAACUGUGAAUGCAGCUCUUCCAGGAAUGAAGCGCAGCAGCGCUGCAUGCCUUUCAAACACACAACCAGAUGGUGCAGUCUGCUCUUUUGCACCAGCGCGUCUCACAAACACCAGUGAAACAUCACAGUUUGAUCAGGUGUGAACAGCAGCCAGUUGUUCAGCUGGUGCUGAACUUGUUCUCUGGGUUAAAAACAUCACAGCUGCUGCUGCCGGAUCUCUGAGCACCUCAA